CCUACGGGCGGCAGCAGUGGGGAAUAUUGGACAAUGGGGGGAACCCUGAUCCAGCCAUGCCGCGUGUGUGAAGAAGGCCCUCGGGUUGUAAAGCACUUUCAGUGAGGAAGAACGCCUGGUGGUUAAUACCCAUCAGGAAAGACAUCACUCACAGAAGAAGCACCGGCUAACUCCGUGCCAGCAGCCGCGGUAAUACGGAGGGUGCGAGCGUUAAUCGGAAUUACUGGGCGUAAAGCGCGCGUAGGUGGCUUGAUAAGCCGGUUGUGAAAGCCCCGGGCUCAACCUGGGAACGGCAUCCGGAACUGUCAAGCUAGAGUGCAGGAGAGGAAGGUAGAAUUCCCGGUGUAGCGGUGAAAUGCGUAGAGAUCGGGAGGAAUACCAGUGGUGAAGGCGGCCUUCUGGACUGACACUGACACUGAGGUGCGAAAGCGUGGGUAGCAAACAGGAUUAGAUACCCUUGUAGUC
rnacentral:rRNA from 1 species